rnacentral:sRNA from 1 species
UCAACUGUGUUGCAUUGAUGUCAUGAGC